rnacentral:rRNA from 1 species
AGCAGCCGCGGUAAUUCCAGCUCCAAUAGCGUAUAUUAAAGUUGUUGCAGUUAAAAAGCUCGUAGUUGAACUUCAGGCCUGUCCAGACGGUCCGCCUUAAUUGGUGUGUACUGUCCUUGGGUGGGUCCUACCUUCUGGCGAAGCGGCAUGGCCUUAAUUGGUUGUGUCGGGGAACCAGGACUUUUACUGUGAAAAAUUAGAGUGUUCAAAGCAGGCAAAUAUGCUCGAAUACAUUAGCAUGGAAUAAUGGAAUAGGACGAUGGUUCUAUUUUGUUGGUUCUAGGACCGUUGUAAUGAUUAAUAGGGAUAGUUGGGGGCAUUAGUAUUCAAUUGUCAGAGGUGAAAUUCUUGGAUUUAUUGAAGACUAACUACUACGAAAGCAUUUGCCAAGGAUGUUUUCAUUAAUCAAGAACGAAAGUUAGGGGAUCGAAGACGAUCAGAUACCGUCGUAGUCUUAACCAUAAACUAUGCCGACUAGGAAUCGGGCGAUGUUGACAAAAUGACUCGCUCGG